AUAAAAACGUUGACGGGCAAUAGUAUUAAACGGAAGUUUCUCAGAGAGCCGGUGGUCGCUGCGAACCGGUAAACAUUCGAUUAAGAAUCCAGCCUUGAGUGAAGAGCGGAACGAGGAGUGUUUGCUUCUUAACUAAGUUCUUUCGUAUCCCCUACGUUAUUGGGCUUGAGCUGGUUGGUCUUUUAUGGACCAACAACGAGGGUGGCAUCGCGGUUUAACCGUCCCUGUU
rnacentral:ncRNA from 1 species